rfam:Populus trichocarpa isolate Nisqually-1 chromosome 1, whole genome shotgun sequence.
CAAUCUAUCUGAGGCAGAUCCUCGUCUAAUUAUGAUAAACUCAUACAUAUUUGUUCAUAAUCAUCUGUUUAUCGCAAGUUCGGCUACAUCAUUGGCACUCAUAAAUAUAUUUUGAAGAAAAAAUUCAUAAAAUUAUAGU